UGAGAACUGAAUUCCAUGGGUUGUCCCAGAUACCUUUUCUCAACCCAUGAUUCUCAGUUCUGCA
rnacentral:pre_miRNA from 1 species